GACGAACGCUGGCGGCGUGCUUAACACAUGCAAGUCGAACGAAGUGGCGAACGGGUGAGUAACGCGUAAUAAACCUGCCCUUAAGAGGGGGACAACAGUUGGAAACGACUGCUAAUACCGCAUACUGAGGGAGGGGAUUGCGUCUGAUUGUAGAGUUGGAGGGGUAACGGCCCCCCAAGGCGAUGAUCAGUAGCCGGUCUUAGAGAAUGGACGUCCACGUUUGGACUGGGACACGGCCCAUACGUCGACGGGGAGCAGCAGGGGGGAGUCAUCCGCAAUGGACGAAGGUCAUACGGAGCAACGGCGCUUGAGUUAUGACGGCCUUCGGGUUGUAAGGCUCUGUUAAUCGGGACGCGGUACCUGAAUAGAAAGCCACGGCUAACUACGUGCCAGCAGCCGCGGUAAUAC
rnacentral:rRNA from 1 species